AAGACUAUACUUUCAGGGAUCAUUUCUAUAGUUUGUUACUAGAGAAGUUUCUCUGAAUGUAGAGCACCCAAAACCAUGAGGAGGAGAUGCAGUGUCCUCUCCUGAGCAUGAAGCUGGUCCUUGGUCUUGUUUCUGCAGCUGCUGACUCAGUCUGAGUGGU
ensembl:snoRNA U3 Small nucleolar RNA U3